AUGAGAAAUUCGAGAAGGAAAAAUAAUAGGCAUUCAGAGAAAGGAGUUAAAGACCUUGAGGCAUCAUCUCCAGAUAGUUUGUUCCAUAUAAGAGAUCCCUUCUCUAGAGGUGAAUGUUGGUCUUCAUCCCGACCCCUCUUGAAUGGAGCGGGAUACUAUGGUGUAUCUUCCACAGAUAAAGUGGUCACAACACUGGUAAGUUGGUCGACCUUGGGGAAGUUGCAGUAA